GGGGAUUUAGCUCAGCGGCAUAAGCGCCUGCCUUGCAAGCAGGCAGUCGUGAGCUCGAUCCCCG
rfam:Cavia porcellus supercont2_52 genomic scaffold, whole genome shotgun sequence.